GUUGCGCUUCUCCAGCGUGGCCACCUUCUGCUGCAGCUUCUUCACGUGGUCCUCCUCCUCAAACAGGGCCUUCUGCACCGAGGAGCACAUGAGCUGGGGACGAAGGCAGCAGAGGCCGGUGAGUUCAGAAAACCUGCCCAGGCUGAGGACAGCCCUCAGGGCCCCCGCCCGGCUGGGUUUCGCCCUGUGGCCCCCAAACCAACACCAACGCAGCGCCUCUCCUCUGCUUUCUGUAUCUGGAGGCCCGAGGUAAUUUUGUUUUAAAAAGCUACUCCCUGGUUUAUCUUCUCAUAUGCUUACCAGUUUGCAUCUCAUUGAUGCCCUGUUGGGAUAGUGACUCUUUUGUGUUUUGCUCUCAUUCACCGGUUCUGCCUGCUCAUUUCUAAUCUGGGUCCAAAACAUUUUCCAGAAAAGCCAAAGCUUGAGGCUCACCCAGCUGGAAGGGAAGCUGGAGCCCAUAGAGGCCUUCAGCAUAUUUCCAGGAAAGGCUUUACCUGCCCUGAGGCACAAAUACCUCAUCUGGAAACCUUUCUAAUCAAUCUCGAGAUCGGCUGGAAGAGAAUGUCUUUGAAAAUGGAGAUUUUUGUUUCUAAUGCAGGCCACCUUGGGUUCUCAAAAGAAAAAGGAGAUUCUAAAUAUUCGUCACUCCUAUCCAAAAGGACAGAGCUCCAGGGAACCAAGAGAACCUCUUUUUCCCUAUACAUGCAGUUCGUAUGUUCAUGAACAAAAAUGCUGGUGCACUGAAUGACUGUUAACCUUAAAGCAUAAAAAAAGAAGACAAACAUCAGUCCUGGCUGUGGUCUGCCUCCAACUCCUCUUAGGCAAAGGCCCUCAACAGUUAUUUCUCCAACAAAGAUGUGCAGAUGGCCAACAGAUACAAGAAGUCUGUGACCUGGAAGGGGCCUCACCUGCCCAUGCUGGCUCCCUGACCUUGGACUUCCAGCCUCUAGAGCCGUGAGAAAAAACCUUCUCUUGUGUGUAAGUGACCUACUCUGGAAUUUUGUUAACGUAGCCCAACCAGAUUAAAACUCCCCUGAU